CCUACGGGAGGCAGCAGUGAGGAAUAUUGGUCAAUGGACGAGAGUCUGAACCAGCCAAGUAGCGUGAAGGAUGACUGCCCUAUGGGUUGUAAACUUCUUUUAUAUGGGAAUAAAAUGUUCCACGUGUGGGAUUUUGUAUGUACCAUAUGAAUAAGGAUCGGCUAACUCCGUGCCAGCAGCCGCGGUAAUACGGAGGAUCCGAGCGUUAUCCGGAUUUAUUGGGUUUAAAGGGAGCGUAGGUGGAUUUUUAAGUCAGUUGUGAAAGUUUGCGGCUCAACCGUAAAAUUGAAGUUGAAACUGGCAGUCUUGAGUACAGUAGAGGUGGGCGGAAUUCGUGGUGUAGCGGUGAAAUGCUUAGAUAUCACGAAGAACUCCGAUUGCGAAGGCAGUUCACUGGACUGCAACUGACACUGAGGCUCGAAAGUGUGGGUAUCAAACAGGAUUAGAUACCCUUGUAGUC
rnacentral:rRNA from 1 species